rnacentral:snRNA from 1 species
GCAAGUUUGUGGAUACUAAAAUUGGAAUGAUAUGGAGAUUAGCAUGGCUCCUGUGCAAGGAUAACGUGCAAAUUCAUGAAGAGUUCCAAAUUUUU